rnacentral:rRNA from 1 species
GUGGGGAAUAUUGGUCAAUGGGGGAAACCCUGAACCAGCAACGCCGCGUGAAGGAAGAAGGCCUUCGGGUUGUAAACUUUUUUGACGAGGGACGAUAAUGACGGUACCUCGAAAACAAGCUCCGGCUAACUACGUGCCAGCAGCCGCGGUAAUACGUAGGGAGCGAGCGUUGUCCGGAAUUACUGGGUGUAAAGGGCGCGUAGGCGGGGAUACAAGUCAGAUGUGAAAUAUCCAGGCUCAACCUGGGGGCUGCAUUUGAAACUGUAUUUCUUGAGUGAUGGAGAGGCAGGCGGAAUUCCGAGUGUAGCGGUGAAAUGCGUAGAUAUUCGGAGGAACACCAGUGGCGAAGGCGGCCUGCUGGACAUUAACUGACGCUGAGGCGCGAAAGCGUGGGGAGCAAACAGGAUUAGAAACCCUGGUAGUCC